rnacentral:lncRNA from 1 species
CUGGUACAAGGUGGCAACACAACUGAGAUCAGAGGGACACAGAGUCACUGCACUGGACUUCGCGGCUUGUGGGAUCAACCAGAAGCCGCUGCAAGAAGUCCAUUCCUGCCACGACUACUUCGAACCCCUCCUCGAGUUUAUGACCACCUUACCUCUAGAUGAGAAGGUGGUUCUGGUGGGUCACAGCUUUGGUGGAGUUGGCUUGUCCCUCGCUAUGGAAACCUUUCCAGAAAAAAUUUCUGUUGCUGUUUUCGUAACCGCUCUUAUGCCUGGUCCGGACCUUUCUUACGUUACUAUCUCUAAUGAGGUGACUUUAUCUUUAUUAAAAAAAAACAGAAUUGAGUAACCCAAAUGUUUAAAAUUAGCACAAAUUCUCAGAAACAGAAUGGUGUUUGCUGUGUUGUCAACAUUUUUUUUUUGUGUGCAAAUACUUCAGAUUAAAAAAGUGUUCGAAUCAUCAAGCGUAGAAUAUUUUACAGUUGAUGAAAGCUUUGAUAAACAUAUAUUUUCUCCGUCUCUUAUUAUUUUUCCUGUAUGCUUUAUCAUGUUUGCCAACACAUAUUUUGCAUCGUCAAUAUCUAUAAUUUCGUAUUAGUAUUAAAUAUAAAAUCUUACUGUAUUAAAGUACUCAUGAAUACGAAUCCAACAAAAUCAUUCACAAUUAUAUUUAAUCUUACAGAUUAGACGCAAAUUAAUAAUUUGUCUAAUGUUAUGAACAGUUCCGACCUAUCAAAGGAGUAAAGCAAAAAGAAACGGAGGGAGUAGUAAACUUUACACCCGAGGCAUUGGCCUCCAAACUGUAUCAACUCUCUCCAACCCAGGUAUGUUAAUGUACAAACUGCCAAGAAGCAAACUUUUAAUAUUAUAGCUCUAUGCCUCUAUGUAAUUAUAAUCUUUUAGCAUUGUGUUAAGAAAGGAUUAUAGUUUAUAUCAUUCUCGACUUCCAGUUCCAGAUGUUAAAAUGACAAUAGUGCGCUGAGAAAACAUGGCAGAUUCUUGAUCUUGCAGGCACAAAUAAUUUGAAUCUCUUUUAGCUGGAAUUUUUUUAUAAUGCACAGGAUUUGACACUAGCAACUAUGUCAGUGAGGCCACAUUCUUUACAAGUUAAAUCAGAUGCAUCAGAAAGCCUGAUUGUCAGUAAAGAGAAGUAUGGUUCAGUCCAUCGCGUGUACAUUGUGGCUGAUCAAGAUAUGAUACUAUCCGAAGAAGUUCAGAGGUGGAUGAUUCAACUAAACCCACCAAAUGAUGUGAAGGUGAUCCAGGGUUCUGAUCACAUGACCAUGGUCUCUAAGCCACAGGAGCUCUCAUCUUGCCUUCUGACAAUUGCCCAGCACCACUGCUGAUGAAUUGCAGUAAAGUGUAACGGAAGAUCGAGGGGUAACGAGGGGUAAUGGAAUGAAAAAUUAUAAAUUCUUUUAUGAAAAUAGAAGAACGUAUAAGAAAAAGGAGACAUAUCCUUUAAUCUAUAUACAGUUAACGGAUUGUAUUCGAUUGAGAUUUUAAUUGAUUGUUUUUCGUCUAUGAAUUUUAAUAGAUUGUAUGUGAUUUUGAACUCUCAUCUUGCCUUCUGUCAAUUGCCCAGCACCACUGCUGAUAAAUUGCAGUAAUGUAAGAUUGUGUUGGAACGAAGAGAUAACGGAAUAAAAAUUGUAAAAAAAUUUAUGGAAAAAGAAGAAUGUAUGAGAAAAGGGAGACAUAUCACUUUAUGAGUUGCAUCGAGUAAUAAUUGUUGAAAAAGUAGAUAAAAAUAUAGAGUAAAUAAAUUUUUAAAAAUCUAAAAAUAUUAUCUAAAAUACUAGAUUUCGGAAUCUUUAAUUUGGAUGUAUACUAACGAUAAAAUGAUUUUUUUGAUAAAAAUUUUCAAAUUAAUGACUCAUUUAAGUCAUUUUUGUAAUCAAAAUAACUUACUUGAUACAUUUGGAAGCAGUAAGUGAACUACUUAAUAAUUAACCCGAUUAUUAUACUUUGGAUAAUUAGUCAAUAACUCCCAUCCGAAAUAUGUAUGGUUCAAUGAACUCAUGACAUCUGUAUGGUUCAAUGUACGUAUCCAUUUACAUCAAAAGCCAGAAAAUUAGGCAAGAAAAUUACUCUUUGGAUCUCUUUCAUCACUAUUUAUACCUAAAUUAUCUAUCACUAUUUAUACCUAAAUUGUCGGUUCAAGAACAUUUCAGAAAAUCUAUUUCAAAUAUUCUGUAAAUAAGAUCAAAAAAUACAAGGAAGAUGAGUCAACAUAUAAAAAAUUUAUACGUAAUAUAUAAAAAUAAAUAAAAUAUAUCUGUUAAUAAAUUAUUAUUAAAAACUUAACUCAAAAACAUAUAUCAAAUAGAGCCGACAAAAUAGCACUAAUUACCCCUUUCAAACCAAUAUAAACACAUCAAUCAUGACCAUCCAUGAAUAUACAAAAUUGUCAUUGACUAACGCAAAUUUAGCAUUCAAAUUGUAUAAAAAAAACUCGGUAGCAUUCAAACUCUAUAAAAUAUAAUUUAUAUUUUAUGUACAAUCCUAAAUUGUUCUCACGUCAAAAGUAGGAAAAUGGUGAGACCGGUUGACUGUUUUUGAUAAGUUUUGAAAUAUAAAAAAUUGAAUCGAACAUACAAAAAAUGAAAUGGUAAAAAAAUGGUUUGGCCAGGGGGAUAUUGUACUUCAGAAUUUUGACAUAUGUAUGGUUCAAUGUACCUAACCAUUUACAUCAGACAGGGACAAAAGCCAGAAAAUUAGUCAAGAAACGUAAACAGAGUUGGCAAUUAAAAUCCAUUCUUUCAAAAUAAAACCAAUUAGAAGAUGACAGAAAAGAGAGAGCCUCACUUUGUGCUGGUUCAUGGAGGUUGUCAUGGUGUAUGGUGCUGGUACAAGGUGGCAACACAGUUAAGAUCAGAGGGACACAGAGUCACUGCACUGGACUCAGCAGCUUGUGGCAUCAACCAGAAGCCGCUGCAAGAAGUCCAUUCCUAUUACGACUACUUCGAACCCCUCCUGGAGUUUCUGGCCACCUUAGCACCAGAUGAGAAGGUGGUUCUGGUGGGUCACAGCUUCGGUGGAUAUGGCUUGUCACUAGCUAUGGAAACCUUCCCUGAAAAAAUUUCUGUUGCUGUUUUCGUAACAGCUUUUAUGCCUGGUCCGGACCUUACUUAUCUUGCUAUAU